rnacentral:rRNA from 1 species
AUGGGAGGAGCUUCGCUGCUGCGUCUAGCGGCCGCCAUGGUCCUCACCGGCUUGGUUUCUCCGCCUGUUGCAGUGGCGGCACGCGCGACGCCGCCACUGCCGGUGCUGCCGAUCCCGACGGCGGCGCAGCUCGCGUGGCAGCGGCGGGAGGUGAUCAUGUUCUUCCACUUCGGGAUGAACACGUUCACGAACUCCGAGCUGGGCACAGGGGAGGAGGACCCGGCCCUGUUCGGCCCCGCCGCGCUCAACGCCAGCCAGUGGAUGGACGCGGCGGCCGCGGCAGGCGCGUCGCUCGCCAUCCUGGUAGCCAAGCACCACGACGGCUUCUGCCUCUGGCCGUCCGCCUACACGGCCCACUCCGUGCGCGCCAGCGGCUGGCGCAGCGGCGCCGGCGACGUGGUGCGCGAGUUCGCCGCCGCGGCGCGCGCACGGGGCGUCGACGCCGGCCUCUACCUCUCGCCGUGGGACCUCCAUGAUCAGCGAUACGGCCGCGAGGUCGCCUACAAUGAGUACUACUUGGCGCAGCUCCACGAGCUCCUCACCGGGUACGGGAGCUUGUCGGAGAUCUGGUUCGACGGCCACAAGGACAAGAACGCGACGAACAUGACGUACCACUUUCAUGAGUGGUUUCAGAUCGUGAGGCAGUUGCAGAGCUCUAGCAUCAUCUUCUCCGACGCCGGCCCCGACGUCCGGUGGGUCGGCAACGAGGACGGGUUCGUCGGAACCACGUGCUGGUCGACCGUCAACCGCUCCAUGAUAACGAUCGGGGCGACCGGCAUCGAGAACUAUCUGAACAACGGCGACCCGUGGGGGACGGAGUGGGUGCCGCCGGAGUGCGACGUGACGAUCCGUCCUGGCUGGUUCUGGCACAAGAACGAGACGGCCAAGACGCUGAGCCAGCUGCUCGAUAUAUACUACACCUCGGUGGGCCGGAACUGCGUGCUGCUGUUGAACGCGCCGCCCAACACCACGGGCCUGGUGGAGGACGCCGACAUCGCCAGGCUCCGCGAGUUCCGUGCCGCCGUGACGCGCAUCUUCGGCACGGACCUCGCCGAUGGCAGCACGGCGAGGGCCAGCAGCGAGCGCGGCAGCGGAUUCGCGGCGGGCAAUGUGCUGGACGGCCGGGACGACACGUACUGGGCGCCGACGGCGGAGGACGAGUACUGGGUCGAGCUGCGGCGGCCGGCGAGAGCGCGAGCGCGCGCGUUCAACGUGGUGAGGAUACAGGAGCACGUGGCGCUGGGGCAGCGGGUGGAGCGGCACGAGGUGUACGUGGACGGCCUGGCCGUGGCCCGCGGCACGACGGUGGGGAGCAAGCGGCUGCACCGGCUGGUCGGACCCGUCGUUGGCCGGACGGUCAAGAUAUGGUUCGCCGCGCGCCGUGGGCCUCCGCUAGUGUCGGCGGUGGGCCUGCAUCUCGACCCUUUCGAAGCCAAUCGUGCGCGCUGA